ACGGGGGGGGCAAGCGUUGUUCGGAAUCACUGGGCGUAAAGGGCGCGUAGGCGGCUUUGUAAGUCGGGGGUGAAAGCCUGUGGCUCAACCACAGAAUUGCCUUCGAUACUGCAUGGCUUGAGACCGGAAGAGGUAAGUGGAACUGCGAGUGUAGAGGUGAAAUUCGUAGAUAUUCGCAAGAACACCAGUGGCGAAGGCGGCUACCUGGACCAGCACUGACACUGAGGCACGAAAGCGUGGGGAGCAAACAGGA
rnacentral:rRNA from 1 species